AAAGUCGUAACAAGGUCUCCGUUGGUGAACCAGCGGAGGGAUCAUUACCAGAGUUUACAACUCCCAAACCCAAAUGUGAACAUACCUACUGUUGCUUCGGCGUGCUCGCCCCGGCGUCCGGCUGGCCCUGUGCCGGCCGCGGCCCGGAGCCAGGCGACCGCCGGAGAAAAAAACCAAAACCCUUUGUAUUAUCAGCAUCUUCUGAAUCCGCCGCAAGGCAAAACAAAUGAAUCAAAACUUUCAACAACGGAUCUCUUGGUUCUG
rnacentral:misc_RNA from 1 species